UUUAUUAACGAGUAAAGAAAGGAAAAUUUAAAAGGCAUACGUAUAAGAAAAUACAAAGAGGUAUAACUUAACGUAAACGAGACUAUUCAGGAUCUAAACUCUAAACAGCAGCCACAUGGAACGUUCACGCUUGUCAGAAUAAAUUAACGGAAUAAAAGUCAACGAUACCCUAAUGAUACCAUUGUGCUUCUAUGUUCUGGCAAUUUAUGCGCAUUUAAGAAUUUUCGACGAACCAAAACGGACAUUAUACGUUGAAUAGCCGUGAAAGUGAACCCUCCGCCAGACACAAAACAAUCUUUCUCGUACCCCUGAAAAGGGUCUACAAGAAUUUUGAAAGAAAUUCGAGCGACUGAAAAUCGAAAACUGUAAUAGCUUCAAUAUGUUGGGAAUAUAUAAGAUGAUCUAUAUUUACAAAAUAAAAAGAAUGCAUAUGAAAUGAGAUUAGAAAUUUUAUCGAUUUGAGACAUAUGCUAUAUGUAUAUAAUGUUAACUUUCUUAAGGAGAUUAAAAAAUUUCAUCUAUUUAGAUUAAUUACUAUUAUUUCUCUUAAAGAAUUAUAAAUAAUUGACACGUGGUACUCGUUUAAUAUCAUGGAAAAGAAAGAUUAAAGUAAACGUUUGUAUUAUUGAAUAAUUUAGUUUUAGAAGGUUUCUUCAAAACACAAAAUAGUGAAAAGAAAUUUUGUAUAUUGUUUACUAUAGUAUCACUAAGUUAAUUACCAACUAAAAUAUUACUAAAUAUCACUUUGUGAUUCUUAAAGCGUAUGAAACGAUCUACAAUGAGAAGUCGGGAAAGGGAAAUGAUUUUAUAAGAAAAAGAAACCUUAGAAUAAUGAAGUCACUGGUCCUAGGGACGACACAGCAGGUGGCAUCGCUUUCGGAAAGACGAAAAAAAUGUGUAGCGGCGAACUUUCACCGGUUAAUGAGACGUUAAUGCAACAAAUGGCACUCCUGUGGUUAAAAUGUAACUUAACGAAUGUAAAAUGUCACCGUCGCGAUUGGACAUCUAUCUUGGAAUGAUUAUUUAUAAUUAAGAUUUCGUAUUCGCUUUCCCCGAGAUGAAUAUUCGAUUAUUGGUAAAAAGAAAUAUCAACUAGUUAGCCGUUUUAGCUAUAAGGAAAUUGUAAAUGCGUGUGUAUUCCAUGAAAAGUUCCUCGUAAAGUAAUCAGCUUCUCGGUAGAGCAUUCGAUUUAAGUGUUUCUCGCAUUAACGUGUCUAUGGGAUAGCUAUUGAUACACUGCUGAGAAAUUCCUUCGUGAGAAACAUAUAAUGUAAGACUACACUUUUUUGUUUAGUGAACGACGAAUCUCAUUUGUUCGUUUUAUUGAGAACAUAUUCAACAAAGCAGCAAAUAUUAUUU